UACGUAGGUGGCGAGCGUUGUCCGGAUUUACUGGGCGUAAAGGAGCGCGCAGGCGGUCGUUCAAGUCGCGUGUGAAAGCCCCCGGCUCAACUGGGGAGGGUCACGCGAUACUGAUCGACUCGAAGGCAGGAGAGGGUAGUGGAAUUCCCGGUGUAGUGGUGAAAUGCGUAGAUAUCGGGAGGAACACCAGUGGCGAAGGCGACUACCUGGCCUGUUCUUGACGCUGAGGCGCGAAAGCUAGGGGAGCAAACGGG
rnacentral:rRNA from 1 species